UCCUUAAUGGUCCAGUGGUUAGGACCUGUACUUUCACUGCCAAGGGCCUGGGUUCAAUCCCUGGUUGGGGAA
rnacentral:tRNA from 1 species